GACGAGGGACCCUAGCGUUGUUCGGAAUCAUUGGGCGUAAAGCGGGUGUAGGCGGCUUUAUAAGUCAGAUGUGAAAGCCCUGGGCUUAACCCAGGAAGUGCAUUUGAUACUGUAAAGCUUGAGUGUUGGAGAGGUUACUGGAAUACCUGGUGUAGUGGUGAAAUACGUAGAUAUCAGGUGGAACACCGGUGGCGAAGGCGGGUAACUGGCCAAACACUGACGCUCAAGCCCGAAAGCGUGGGGAGCAAACAGG
rnacentral:rRNA from 1 species